GUUUGAUCUCAAAUCAGGUAGGACUACCCGCU
rnacentral:rRNA from 2 species